CGAAGACUUGUGACGAAAUAAAAAGGCGGAUAGAGGCGAACACUAAAGAGGUUGGAUGAGCGACAUAGUAUUUGAUGACAGAUGCACUGCUUUGACGUUGGGAUGAGAGCCAUCCAUGAAUGGGGUGACCCAGAGUAUUGUCAAGCAGCAAAAGACUAUUGAAUAGGACGUACCUUCCAAGCAAGAUUUCUCUACCUCUGGGAUGAAGUGGUGGAAAAAUCAGUUCUGAAAAAUGGUCUGUGAAACCCAGGCUUUGGAGUUACUAUUUCACACAACAAGGAGAGCCUUUGGCUAUGUUUUUAAGGGCUUUUGGGUUCUCUGAAUGAUAAACGAGGAGAAGCUGCAGCUUCAAAUCACUGGAAACAUUGCCACCAAACAACAGAGUUAGCCUAACCUUUGCUGCUUUAUCGUCUGGCAUCAACUUUUCCUCCUUACUGAUGUAACUUUGAUCUGGAAUCCUCUUCCAAUACAGUCCUGUCUCAUCCACAUUAAGAAACCUCCUCAGGAAUCUGUGAUGCUGUAUUCUUCUUAUUGCUGCCUAUAGGAGGUCCAUUUAUCUGUCCCAUUAUGGAUGAUGUCAGCUUUCAUCUGUCUGCUAGACUUCUCCAGUGUACUUUCUCCUUUAAUAAAACAUAUAUCCCCUUCUUACCAAACUUUCAGUUGAUUCACUUACUUAUAUAAUUAGUAUGAUUCAUGGAUUUCUGCUUUAUUCAGUGAGUUAUAAUCCACUACUUUCAUGUUUUUAAUGCUCAAGUUGUCCCAGAUUUGGCUAGGGGUUUUUAUGUUACUUUUGAUAUGUCCCUAUCAUUCUUUGAGCACUUCCUUCUCUCUGAAUCAAAUGUUCAGGUUGAUCUUAUACUUUCCC